rnacentral:tRNA from 1 species
GGAGCUGUGCCCGAAAGAUCUCAAGGACCACUUUGAUAGAGUGAUUUAUGGGGGUUAAAAUCCCCCCAGCUUCU